rnacentral:lncRNA from 1 species
GCGCCUGUGGCAGCUACAGCUGUGGCAGGGAAAGAGGAAGAGGAAGGAAAAAGGGAAGGAGAGGAAGAAGAGAAGGGGAAGAAGGGGCUGCGACUGCGGCGAUGGCAGCUGCAGUUAGAAGAGAAGAGAGGAAGAUGAGCAGGGGAGGAAGAAGAGGCUGCUGCCGUGGCUGAGGCUGCGACUGCAGCAGUGCAGCUGGGAAAGAAGAGAAGGAAAGGAAGAAGAAGAGAAAGGAAAGGGAAAAAAAA